GACGAACGCUGGCGGCGUGCCUAAUACAUGCAAGUAGAACGCUGAAGGAGGAGCUUGCUUCUCUGGAUGAGUUGCGAACGGGUGAGUAACGCGUAGGUAACCUGCCUGGUAGCGGGGGAUAACUAUUGGAAACGAUAGCUAAUACCGCAUAAGAGUAGAUGUUGCAUGACAUUUGCUUAAAAGGUGCAAUUGCAUCACUACCAGAUGGACCUGCGUUGUAUUAGCUAGUUGGUGGGGUAACGGCACACCAAGGCGACGAUACAUAGCCGACCUGAGAGGGGGAUCGGCCACACUGGGAGUGUGACACGGCCCAGACUCCUACGGGAGGCAGCCGUAGGGCAUCUUCGGCAAUGGACGGAAGACUGACCGCGCAACGCCGCGUGAGUGUGGAAGGUUUUCGGAUCGUAAAGCUCUGUUGUAAGAGAAGAACGAGUGUGAGAGUGGAAAGUUCACACUGUGACGGUAUCUUACCAGAAAGGGACGGCUAACUACGUG
rnacentral:rRNA from 1 species